rnacentral:rRNA from 1 species
GUCUACAGCCAUGUCGCCCUAAACAAACCCAACCCCAUCCGAUCUCAGAAGCUAAGCAGAGUCAGGCCUGGUUAGUAUUUGGAUGGGAGACCACCUAGGAAGACCAGGUACUGUAGGCG